CCUAAGCAAAAGUGGAGAGAGUGGUGUCUGUUGUCCUUUGAAUUUGUUCUUGCUCACUCUUGAUGUGAAUGCAGCAUGGUGCUCCAAGCAUGACUACCUGAUCAGGCUGCGAGGCAAAACAACUAAGUCAUCUUUGGCUUGUUCUGGAGUUGGGAGAGUUCAAGCUACUGUGCUACUUAUGGAAAUUACGGGGACCGAUGGUUCAGCUUCCUUGGGGUUUUGGCUACUUUAAUAGAAAUACUCUGUUGCUACAUUAAUCGUAAAUACAGAAGAAACAGUGAUGAAGAGUGUCACUAAGCUGACCCAGAAGAAGUUUCCUUAGAGAAGAACAUCUAACUUCCCUUAAUUUUCUUCUCCUUGAUGGGAGGGAGUGCAAAUUAUACAAUCAUAUACUGCUAUAUAGAACUGGCAGUAUGCCUGUUUCCACAAUCUUGUGGGCUAACUGAUGACCCUAAAGCAGAAUGUAAGAAACACAAUUAUAAACAAUAAAAAAAGCUUUA